rnacentral:rRNA from 1 species
UACGUAGGGUGCGAGCGUUGUCCGGAAUUAUUGGGCGUAAAGAGCUUGUAGGUGGUUUGUCGCGUCUGCUGUGAAAAUCCGAGGCUCAACCUCGGACUUGCAGUGGGUACGGGCAGGCUAGAGUGUGGUAGGGGAGACUGGAAUUCCUGGUGUAGCGGUGAAAUGCGCAGAUAUCAGGAGGAACACCGAUGGCGAAGGCAGGUCUCUGGGCCACUACUGACGCUGAGAAGCGAAAGCGUGGGGAGCGAACAGG